rnacentral:rRNA from 1 species
UACGUAGGUGGCAAGCGUUGUCCGGAAUUAUUGGGCGUAAAGCGCGCGCAGGCGGUCCUUUAAGUCUGAUGUGAAAGCCCACGGCUCAACCGUGGAGGGUCAUUGGAAACUGGGGGACUUGAGUGCAGAAGAGGAAAGCGGAAUUCCACGUGUAGCGGUGAAAUGCGUAGAGAUCCGGAGGAACCCCAGAGGCGAAGGCGGCCCCCUGGCUCGUACCUGACGCUCAGCCACGAAAGCAUGGGGAGCGAACGGG